AAUAAGCGCACAUGGUGGAUGCCUUGGCGAUAAGAGGCGAUGAAGGGCGUAGAAGUCUGCGAUAAGCGUAGGUUAGCUGACAAACGAGCGAUAACCCUACGAUCUCCGAAUGGGGCAACCCACUUACCUUUGGUAAGUAUCCAAUACUGAAUACAUAGGUAUUGGAGGCGAACCCGGCGAACUGAAACAUCUAAGUAGCCGGAGGAAAAGAAAUCAACCGAGAUUUUCCUAGUAGCGGCGAGCGAACGGGAAACAGCCUGCAAGUGAUAUUUAACGUUUUAGUGGAAUGUUCUGGAAAGGACAACGAUACAGGGUGAUAGUCCCGUACACGAAAAGGCGUUAUUGGUACUAAGCUUGCGACAAGUAGGGCGGGGCACGAGAAACCUUGUCUGAACAUGGGGGGACCAUCCUCCAAGGCUAAAUACUCCUGACUGACCGAUAGUGAACCAGUACCGUGAGGGAAAGGCGAAAAGAACCCCUGUGAGGGGAGUGAAAUAGAUCCUGAAACCGUAUGCGUACAAGCAGUCGGAGCGGACUUGUUCCGUGACGGCGUACCUUUUGUAUAAUGGGUCAGCGACUUAUAUUUAGUAGCAAGGUUAAGUGAAUAACGGAGCCGUAGCGAAAGCGAGUGUUAACUGCGCGUUUAGUUGCUAGGUAUAGACCCGAAACCCGGUGAUCUAGCCAUGAGCAGGUUGAAGGUUGAGUAACAUCAACUGGAGGACCGAACCCACUAACUUUGAAAAGUUAGGGGAUGACUUGUGGCUGGGGGUGAAAGGCCAAUCAAACCGGGAGAUAGCUGGUUCUCCCCGAAAUCUAUUUAGGUAGAGCCUCGGACGAAUUCCAUUGGGGGUAGAGCACUGUUAAGGCUAGGGGGUCAUCCCGACUUACCAACCCUUUGCAAACUCCGAAUACCAAUGAGAACUAUCCGGGAGACACACGGCGGGUGCUAACGUCCGUCGUGGAGAGGGAAACAACCCAGACCGCCAGCUAAGGCCCCAAAAUCAAUACUAAGUGGUAAACGAUGUGGGAAGGCCCAAACAGCCAGGAGGUUGGCUUAGAAGCAGCCAUCCUUUAAAGAAAGCGUAAUAGCUCACUGGUCGAGUCG
rnacentral:rRNA from 1 species